ACGACGGCGGCGGCGGCGGCGGAAGGCGUACUUGUAUCGUGUGCAAGCUUCGUUGGUUGUAAUGGAGGGAACCGAUGACUUGCCAUGGAGAGCAAAGAAUAACUCUCUUUGGUAAAAAAUAAUAAUACUUUAGGAGAAAGUGAAGAUAGCUAGCUAGCGUUGGAAUCAAGCGAUCCACUGUCCUGCAGGUUCGAUCUAUCACUCGACAGACAAAAAGAAAAGAGAAGUGAUCGAAGAGAGGAACAACAACAAAAAACAAAGGUGAAACACAAACAAUGCAGGGAGAGAUGAGACGACGACGACGACGACGGCCAUGAUCAAGGCUUUUGGAGCUCAAAGUCGAAACGUGUCCCCUGCUUCUCUUUAGUAUUUGUUCCUUGUAGCCACUUAGUGGUAGGUAGGCAGGCAGGUUCUUUUGGUUAAGGAGGAAGAAGAAGAAGAUGAUCAAAAGGAAAAAAGAAAAGAGAAGAGGAGAGGUGUGGCAAUGGCAAUGGCAAUUCGCAAGUGGCACAGCUUUGGAAGCCUGACUACUCUACUCUCUCUUGACUGUGCCAUGGAAUGAAUCGAUUCUCUCUGCCUCCUCGCCAUGCGUCCACUUUCCGAUCAGAAAAAAAAAAAAAGGCGAGCUUCCAUACCAUUCCGUCGCUGCAAGACACCACUACUACUCGUCAGUCAUCAUCUUGUUCUUGAGUAUUCAAAUGGCCAAGAAAAAUCAGCACCAUACAGCAUCAGAGGGAAAAUAUAUAUCAGCAGCACUGGUUGCAGUUGCUGGCACUGAGUUCCUUUAUACAGUUCUAGAACUUGGAAGGUAAAAUUUGUUACAGUACAUCCAAAAGGGGGUAAUUGCGUAUGGGACACUGCCAAUACUUGAAUUGGUUCAAUAACACUUAAAAACGUGUAAUUAGCUAAUGAACACUUUUAGUAUUAUUUUAUUAUA